UGUGCGCAAAACAUCAAAACUCAACAUGUCAAGGGGUAUUAUUGUAUUAAUUCUGUUACUCCACUGGAGCGAAGACACUGUGGGUGCAGAUGAUGUUAUUCAAACCCCUAAAAUGAUUUGGGAACCAAAGAGUGGUUCUGCUUCUUUGAACUGCAGUCACAAUAAGGGUGCUUCAUACUACCAGAUGUACUGGUACCGACAACGUCCAGGAGAGACUAUGAGGCUCAUUGUAUUCCAGUACGACUGAUAAAAAAGAGUUUGGAGAUGUUGAUGAGAAGAAAUUUGAUGCUCAAAAAAGUGAUGCUGAAAGUGGAUCUUUGACAGUGAAAGAUCUAAAGCCUGAAGACAGUGGCAUAUAUUUCUGUGCAGUGAGUGAACACAAUCAGUGA